UACGGGGGGGGCAAGCGUUGUUCGGAAUUACUGGGCGUAAAGGGCUCGUAGGCGGCCAACUAAGUCAGACGUGAAGUCCCCAGGCUCAACCUGGGAACUGCGUCUGAUACUGGAUGGCUUGAAUCCGGGAGAGGGAUGCAGAAUUCCAGGUGUAGCGGUGAAAUGCGUAGAUAUCUGGAGGAAUACCGGUGGCGAAGGCGGCAUCCUGGACCGGCAUUGACGCUGAGGAGCGAAAGCCAGGGGAGCAAACGGG
rnacentral:rRNA from 1 species